rnacentral:tRNA from 1 species
GGGCCCUUGGCUCAGUUGGUAGAGCGCUCCCAUGGCAUGGGAGAGGUCACCGGUUCGAAUCCGGUAGGGUCCACCA